AACCUAGCACACCUGCGGUGUGUACCUGCGGAGGGAUCAUUACAGAGUUAUCCAACUCCCAAACCCAUGUGAACUUAUCUCUUUGUUGCCUCGGCGCAAGCUACCCGGGACCUCGCGCCCCGGGCGGCCCGCCGGCGGACAAACCAAAACUCUUGUUAUCUUAGUUGAUUAUCUGAGUGUCUUAUUUAAUAAGUCAAAACUUUCAACAACGGAUCU
rnacentral:misc_RNA from 1 species